rnacentral:rRNA from 1 species
CGUCAGGAUGAACGCUGGCGGCGUGCCUAACACAUGCAAGUCGAGCGUGAACCCUUAGAAUGAAACUUCGGUCGAAUGAAGAGGGGGAAAGCGGCGGACGGGUGAGUAACGCGUAGGCAACCUGCCCCGUACAGAGGGAUAGCCUCGGGAAACCGGGAUUAAAACCUCAUAAUACCAUGGUAUCACAUGAUGCAAUGGUCAAAGAUUUAUCGGUAUGGGAUGGGCCUGCGUCUGAUUAGCUGGUUGGUGGGGUAACGGCCUACCAAGGCAACGAUCAGUAGCCGACCUGAGAGGGUAAUCGGCCACAUUGGAACUGAGACACGGUCCAAACUCCUACGGGAGGCAGCAGUGGGGAAUAUUGCACAAUGGGCGAAAGCCUGAUGCAGCAACGCCGCGUGAGUGAAGAAGGCCUUUGGGUCGUAAAGCUCUGUCGGGAAGGAAGAUAAUGACGGUACUUCCCGAGGAAGCCCCGGCUAACUACGUGCCAGCCGCUGC